rnacentral:tRNA from 2 species
GCGGAAGUAGUUCAGCGGUAGAAUACAACCUUGCCAAGGUUGGGGUCGCGGGUUCGAGCCCCGUCUUCCGCUCCA